UAAGGAUCUACAAAACCAAACGCUAUGCCAUUCACAAAGAAGCACCAAGGAUAUAGACAACCCACAGCCAAUCAGGAUUAGAACAUGGUUCCCAGAGAAGAGCCAUUACCAAUCUGAAGAGGAGAGAGGGAGACUGGAGGCCGCUGUGGAGGAGGCAGUCAGGACAGUGUCAUCUCUGCUCUCAGUAGUUAACAGAGUACCUGGACCUUUACUACUGAAGCGAGACAUCAACAAAUACUGCAAGUUCAUUUGGAGGAACUCCAGUUCUUUGAACUACAACAGGUGUGGGCGAGCUAAUAAGAGCUACAGAAAUGAGACCUGCCUCGAUGUGACAAUCCCAGAUGAGCACCUUGAGGGGUGUGUCAUUUAUCCAGAGCUUAACUCUACUCAAAAGAC